CUACUGUAGCAAAAUUGGGCAGUCGACAGCUAUAGCUAAUGUGGAACUUUCAAACCAAAAUAUAGUUGUAAUAAUUAAUAAACUUCAUUUGUUGUUAAUGCUUUUAAGAAAACAAUUGGAACUGAAACCAACGAAGUAUGAGGAAACAAUUUAUAAUUUUUAUUUGAGAACAAAUAUUUUGUGUUAGAAUUUUAAGAUUUCAAAAUUUUAGCUGGACACUUGAAAAUUUAAAGUGCAUGAUUUUUUAAAGAUAGAGUUUAACCUAUUAUAUCUUUUCAUUAUUUUCUUGCAUAAUUUUAGUAAUGAAAUAUGAAAAGAAAGCACUUUCGUGGAAAUAUGCAGCUCUCCCGUAUAACUUAUACAAUCUUUGACUCUCCUUCCGUCAUUUGAUACAAUGAAAAAACAGGCUUUGCAAAGAGACAGGAGACAAGGCCUGUUUUACCAAAAGAAGAGCUUCCUAUAACUGAAGAAUGAUGCAGCAUAAAUCAAGAAUAAUUUCAUGCUUGUGUAAUCGGAGGUGAACGAUUUUCGAUAUGGCUACACACUCUGAAUUGAAUUCAACAAGCAGCAUGAGAAUUUUGGGUACUUUUCCAAUUUGCCGGCGCAGGCGUCCAAAAUGCCACAUCACCGUGCGCAAGUUCAUAGACUUCACUAUUAAAGCAAUACAAAACUGAUGAACAAAUAAGAUGGUGGAUCUGGUGUAGACGUCCUAUUUGUAAAGAACAUUUAGAACCAUUUCGAUAGUGGAAAUGAAAGAACAACUAAUAAUGUGGAAGGGCAGCAUUCCAAAUUAAUUCGAAGGACACAAACCUACCACCAAGAUAUUUUCACCGUGAUUGACAUGCUGAAAGAAAUCCAGGGGGGAAAUGAAGGUAAAAUGAACAUGCAUGUUGAGUGAACUCCCAAAAACAGAGGGUAACUUAUAAAGUUCCUAAUUAAUGCAUCUAAGCACUGAAAGAAGAAUCAAUAUGACGGAGCACGGUCCCUGCCGCAGGGUUACCGCAGGGGGAUCAAGAAGUAAUAGAAACUCUUAAUAGUGACAAUUUAAAUGUAAAUUUUAUUUCUAAUAUGGAAAAAGAUUUUAAUAAAUAUUACAAUAUUAAACCAAUGAAA